UACGUAGGGUGCGAGCGUUAAUCGGAAUUACUGGGCGUAAAGCGUGCGCAGGCGGUUAUUUAAGCCAGACGUGAAAGCCCCGGGCUUAACCUGGGAAUGGCGUUUGGGACUGGAAGUCUGGAGUGCGGCAGAGGAGACUGGAAUUCCUGGUGUAGCAGUGAAAUGCGUAGAUAUCAGGAGGAACACCGAUGGCGAAGGCAGGUCUCUGGGCUGACACUGACGCUCAUGCACGAAAGCGUGGGGAGCAAACAGG
rnacentral:rRNA from 1 species